rnacentral:sRNA from 18 species
AACCCCCCGCUAGGCGGGGGGGUCCGUAAAGCUUAAAGCUAUAGAGAUAUUAGUAAAACUCCUUUUGAUUUGCUAAUUAAUCCCUGCGGUCUGGCAACUGCAGGUGGCAAAUCAAAAG